AGACCACCCACGCCACACCUUCUCUCGGAGUUGAGCCUGUGUCUCAUCUUCCAGACAGACCUAAAGACUGCACAGAUGAUUCCUAGGGGAGAGAGGGGUGUGGGGUUCCAGCAGCAUGGGAUGACCCAGGCAUUGGGUCUAAAAGAAGACUUUGGACCAUCCAAUGCUAUAGACUCAUUAGCAUGCAACAUGAAUCCUCUCCCAUCACAAUGGAUUAGCUGUGUCCCUGAUUCAGCAGCUCCAAUUUCGACACUGUGGAAAUCUGCAUAAAAGAAAACUAUUGUGAAUAGCAUCGGAGUGAGGGUGAUAACUCAGAUUUGUCCCUGGAAAUGAAUGGCGUAUUGGUUACUUGGUGAUGCCUCAGAGUGAUUCCGGGGAGAAAACUGAUCGUCUGACGCUGUGUGCAUC